ACCAGACUCCUACGGGAGGCAGCAGUGAGGAAUAUUGGUCAAUGGGCGGGAGCCUGAACCAGCCAAGUCGCGUGAGGGAAGACGGUCCUACGGAUUGUAAACCUCUUUUGCCGGGGAGCAACGGGGUCCUUGCGAGGACCCGAUGAGAGUACCCGGAGAAAAAGCAUCGGCUAACUCCGUGCCAGCAGCCGCGGUAAUACGGAGGAUGCGAGCGUUAUCCGGAUUUAUUGGGUUUAAAGGGUGCGCAGGCGGAGGUGCAAGUCAGCGGUCAAAUCGUGGGGCUCAACCCCAUCCAGCCGUUGAAACUGGGGAUCUAGAGUGUGCGAGAAGUAUGCGGAAUGCGUGGUGUAGCGGUGAAAUGCAUAGAUAUCACGCAGAACUCCGAUUGCGAAGGCAGCAUACCGGCGCCCAACUGACGCUGAAGCACGAAAGCGUGGGUAUCGAACAGGAUUAGAUACCCGUGUAA
rnacentral:rRNA from 1 species